UACGAAGGGGGCUAGCGUUGCUCGGAAUUACUGGGCGUAAAGGGCGCGUAGGCGGAUGUUUAAGUCGGGGGUGAAAGCCCAGGGCUCAACCCUGGAAUUGCCUUCGAUACUGGAUAUCUUGAGUUCGGGAGAGGUGAGUGGAAUUCCCAGUGUAGCGGUGAAAUGCGUAGAUAUUGGGAGGAACACCAGUGGCGAAGGCGGCUCACUGGACCGGUACUGACGCUGAUGCGCGAAAGCGUGGGGAGCAAACGGG
rnacentral:rRNA from 1 species